CCCAUUUUAGGUGGCCGAGUGGUUAAGGCGAUGGACUGCUAAUCCAUUGUGCUCUGCACGCGUGGGUUCGAAUCCCAUCCUCGUCGGU
rnacentral:tRNA from 1 species